UUCCUAACAUUUCUCUCCAGGCUCCUUUUGCUUCUCUCCGAUUCUCUUGUCAUUACAGAUGAAGGCUUCAUUAGCGAUAUACUGUAUUCCAUGUUUAUUAUACUAGUCUGUCCGAAGAGCUCCUACUUUUUAAUGUAAUCUUCAUCUCUUAGGCAGCAGCUCUAGCCCAUUUCCUCUCAUUCAACCCUUCAAGAAGAGGUAUGAUUGCUACCACUUUUCCCCACAAAGUGACGAAAGGAAACAGCGACGGAAGCGCAACCGAACCCUGGAAUUGGUGUCUCGACUGGUCCAUUCCCGGCCCACCCCCAUUAACCGGCUCGAGCCACUCCCAGGACGAAGUCAAGGCCUCGGAAGGCGACUACAACUCCCAGCAGGUCGAGCAGCUCCGCCCGCGCUGAUUCUCCAUUGGCCUUCCGGGGGUGGGGAUUAGAUGGGAGGUGGCCGUGGGGCUGCGGCCGGGAUUUGUCCCCUCUUCGGCUUCCGUAGAGGAAGUGGCGCGGACCUUCAUUUGGGGUUUCGGUUCCCCCCCUUCCCCUUCCCCGGGGUCUGGGGGUGACAUUGCACCGCGCCCCUCGUGGGGUCGCG
rnacentral:lncRNA from 10 species